rnacentral:sRNA from 1 species
CGUGUCUACCUCUGCCUUCUGUGGACACCAUGCGCCUUGGUCCUUGUGUCAUGGUGUAUUUACACUGCCGUACUCACCCAUAACUGCGUGCUCCUUACAAAACCCCAUCCAAGCCAGAGCCGUCUCGAUGCCAGCCCCCUCUCCUCCCUUCAGGCCUGUGCAGAGGGAAUUUUUCAUGGUGCCUUUUUUGAUGAUUUUUUUCUCCAUCUAACUGAAGUCCUUUGGCAUGGGCCAAGCUUUCUUCAUGGUGGCUUGGUUUGGAACUGUUUCCUUGCUUUGCUGGGAUCCCCUGGUGGAAAGGGGUGGGGGGUAAAGGUGCUGAUGAUUUGUCACAGGAGGAAAAAGACCUUCCUUUCCUUGAUUUGCAGCUCUAAUCCUCAUCCUCAGCCCCAUCCCUAUCUGCCAUGGUGGGUCGGGGAGAGCCCUGAGGAGCCCUUUGGCUCCCAAGUCCAUCUUGAUGUUCACUCUUCCCCUCACUCCUGAGAGGCCUUCUGCCAUCUUGGUCCCCAGACCCGGCCUUGCCACUCAAUGUCCCUACCACUCGAGACCCUGGCUCCAAAAUGCCACUCAUCCCACAGCAAAUCAUGUUGGUCGUGCUCCGUUGUGUACCCAUCUAGUGAAGGCACAAUGUUGCUGAGUUGCAUGACUCUCAUCUCAUUCUCUUCUGGGACAUACUGACAUUUUGCAAACAUGCAUGCUUUGCAAGGAAAGCUGCAGAACUCAUUUUCAUACCGUAACCUGAUGCCGUGUCACCCGUGACCUGUUCGAUCGGAGAGAAUAGACUGUCGCUUGCUGUCUUUCGUUUCAGGUAAAUCCAUUUCGGAUGGCCACUCGUGGCAUGUUCCCGACAGCCCUUCCUGUCCCGAGCAUCACUACAAGCAAAUGGAAGGUGACAGGAAUGUUCCACCUGUUCCCCCUGCGUCCAGCACCCCUUAUAAACCACCCUAUGGAAAGCUACUAUUACCUCCAGGCACGGAUGGUGGCAAAGAAGGCCCACGAGUCCUGAAUGGCAGCCCACAGCAGGAAGACGGGGGACUGGCCGGUAUCACAGAGCAGCAGUCAGGUGCCUUUGACAGAUGGGAGCUGAUUCAAGCACAAGAGCUUCACAAUAAGCUCAAAAUAAAACAAAAUUUGCAACAGCUGAACUCUGAUAUCAGCGCCAUCACUACUUGGCUGAAAAAAACUGAAGCAGAGCUGGAAAUGUUAAAGAUGGCAAAGCCUCCCUCUGAUAUCCAGGAAAUAGAAGUGAGAGUGAAGAGACUGCAGGAGAUACUGAAAGCCUUUGACACUUACAAGGCAUUAGUGGUCUCUGUCAAUGUGAGCAGCAAGGAAUUUCUGCAAACCGAGAGCCCCGAAUCCACAGAGCUCCAAAGUAGACUCCGCCAGCUGAGCCUGCUCUGGGAAGCAGCACGGAGCGCAGUGGACAGCUGGAGAGGGGGCUUACGACAGUCGCUCAUGCAGUGCCAGGGCUCUAAGACACGGCCGCGCUCUGAUGUGUGUUGUUUUUUAAGGACUUCCACCAGUUGAGUCAAAAUCUGCUGCUGUGGUUAGCGAGUGCCGAGAACCGGAGGCAGAAGGCUCAUGUCACCGAUCCGAAGGUAGACCCCCAGGCUCUCCUGGAGUGUCGGAGGGAACUAAUGCAACUGGAAGAGGAGCUGGUAGAACGUCAACCUCAAGUGGACAUGUUACAGGAGAUUUCAAACAGCCUUCUCAUUAAGGGACAUGGAGAAGACUAUAUUGAAGCUGAAGAAAAGGUGCAUGUUAUUGAGAAGAAACUCAAACAGUUACAGGAGCAAGUGUCCCAAGAUUUAAUGGCCUUGCAGGGAACCCAGAACCCAGCCCCACCCCUGCCCAGCUUCGACGAGGUAGACUCAGGGGACCAGCCUCCUGCAACAUCUGUGCCAGCUCCCCAAGCAAAGUUCAGAGCAGUGAGAACUGCAGAAGGCGAGGAGGAGACAGAGAGCAGGGUCCCUGGCAGCACAAGGCCACAGCGCUCCUUCCUCUCAAGAGUGAUCCGGGCAGCCCUGCCCCUGCAGCUGCUCCUCCUGCUGCUGCUGCUCCUGGCCUGCCUGCUGCCCUCCUCCGAAGACGACUACAGCUGCACUCAGGCCAACAACUUUGCCCGGUCAUUUUACCCCAUGCUGAGGUACACCAACGGGCCACCCCCCACGUAGAGGGCAUAGCUGGCCGCAAUGCCACCCCACCUGCCUGAUUGCCAAGGGUGCCCAGCACGAGGCCCCAGACCAAUCUGAGUGACUUAGUGUUGGCAAGGUCCCGGGACCUGUGCAGACUUCUUCUGGGCUUACCCAGCACGGGCUCCCUGGAGCCCAGGGCAGCUUUCAAAUUGUGUUCCUCCCCAGGAGCAGGGAACCUGUGCGGCAGGUGCCCCGGGUAUUUUGGCAGAACUAGUUGAUUCGUUUAGGGAUCUCUGGAAAUGUCAGUUUCCUGAAGAGCCAAGCACUUUGUGAAUUCUGGUUUAUUUGUAAAACAGCAUUAUUAUAAUGUAGGUAUGGUCAAUGAGCAGUGGUGUCCAUCACAUAUAUUAUAGAAGCAAGCGAGCACAUUCCACCCUAGAAAUGGUUCAGAAACUUAUAGGCACCCUUAGCUGAUGGAAACAAUCAUAUUUAAUACGCUUAGAAUCAGUUUUACUCCAGUCAGCUGGCAAUUUUGAGCUACCGGUUAUACACCAAAAUGUUCUGUUCAGUACCUAGCUCUGCUCUUUUAUAUUGCUUUAAAUUUUUAAAGAAAUUAUAUUGCAUGGAUGUGGUUAUUUGUGCAUAUUUUUUAACAAUGCCCAAUCUGUAUGAAUAAUGUAAACUUCGAUUUUUUUAAAAAAAAUUAGAUUUUAGCUGGAGUUUUUGACUAAUGUACAGUAAAUGCCAAACUACCGACUUGAUAGGGAUGUUUUUCUAAGUUAAUUUUCUAAGACUUUUUCACACCCAAAGUGAUGCUUUGGGUUUUAACUGUUUGGCCAUGGCGGGGGUGGGGGCGGGGGGUUGGUACAGAAACUUGAAGCUGUUUGUGAUAUGUACAACUCAGAUAUUUCUCAUUAAAAAACAAAAUUAGCC